UACGAAGGGUGCAAACGUUGCUCGGAAUCAUUGGGCGUAAAGCGCACGUAGGCGGCUCCAAAAGUCGGAUGUGAAAUCCCUGGGCUCAACCGAGGAAGUGCAUCCGAAACUGCGGAGCUUGAGUAUGGAAGAGGGUCGCGGAAUUCCCGGUGUAGAGGUGAAAUUCGUAGAUAUCGGGAGGAACAUCAGUGGCGAAGGCGACUUCCUGGACCAAUACUGACGCUCAGGUGCGAAAGCGUGGGGAGCAAACAGG
rnacentral:rRNA from 1 species